rnacentral:rRNA from 1 species
AUGCACGCUGGCGGCGUGCCUAAUACAUGCCAGUCGAGCGAACAGACGAGGAGCUUGCUCCUUCGACGUUAGCGGCGGACGGGUGAGUAACACGUAGGUAACCUACCUAUAAGACUGGGAUAACUUCGGGAAACCGGAGCUAAUACCGGAUAAUAUUUCGAACCGCAUGGUUCGAUAGUGAAAGAUGGCUUUGCUAUCACUUAUAGAUGGACCUGCGCCGUAUUAGCUAGUUGGUAAGGUAACGGCUUACCAAGGCAACGAUACGUAGCCGACCUGAGAGGGUGAUCGGCCACACUGGAACUGAGACACGGUCCAGACUCCUACGGGAGGCAGCAGUAGGGAAUCUUCCGCAAUGGGCGAAAGCCUGACGGAGCAACGCCGCGUGAGUGAUGAAGGUCUUCGGAUCGUAAAACUCUGUUAUUAGGGAAGAACAAACGUGUAAGUAACUGUGCACGUCUUGACGGUACCUAAUCAGAAAGCCACGGCUAACUACGUG